rnacentral:rRNA from 1 species
GACGAACGCUGGCAGCGUGCUUAACACAUGCAAGUCGAACGAUGAACCCGGAGCUUGCUCCGGUGGAUUAGUGGCAAACGGGUGAGUAACACGUGAGUAACCAGCCCUUGACUCUGGGAUAACUGCGGGAAACUGUAGCUAAUACCGGAUACGACCCUCGGCGGCAUCGCCAGGGGGUGGAAAGAAUUUCGGUCAAGGAUGGACUCGCGGCCUAUCAGCUAGUUGGUGAGGUAACGGCUCACCAAGGCGACGACGGGUAGCCGGCCUGAGAGGGUGACCGGCCACACUGGGACUGAGACACGGCCCAGACUCCUACGGGAGGCAGCAGUGGGGAAUAUUGCACAAUGGGCGCAAGCCUGAUGCAGCAACGCCGCGUGAGGGAUGACGGCCUUCGGGUUGUAAACCUCUUUUAGUAGGGAAGAAGCGAAAGUGACGGUACCUGCAGAAAAAGCACCGGCUAACUACGUGCCAGCCGCCGCGGUAA